rnacentral:rRNA from 1 species
GCCCAGACUCCUACGGGAGGCAGCAGUGAGGAAUAUUGGUCAAUGGGCGCGAGCCUGAACCAGCCAAGUCGCGUGAGGGAAGACGGUCCUAUGGAUUGUAAACCUCUUUUGUCGGGGAGCAAAAGACGCCACGUGUGGCGUUCCGAGAGUACCCGAAGAAAAAGCAUCGGCUAACUCCGUGCCAGCAGCCGCGGUAAUACGGAGGAUGCGAGCGUUAUCCGGAUUUAUUGGGUUUAAAGGGUGCGUAGGCGGGCUGUUAAGUCAGCGGUAAAAGGUCGGGGCUCAACCCCGGCCUGCCGUUGAAACUGGCGGCCUCGAGUGGGCGAGAAGUAUGCGGAAUGCGUGGUGUAGCGGUGAAAUGCAUAGAUAUCACGCAGAACUCCGAUUGCGAAGGCAGCAUACCGGCGCCCGACUGACGCUGAGGCACGAAAGCGUGGGUAUCGAACAGGAUUAGAUACCCGCGUACA